rnacentral:rRNA from 1 species
GGCCCAAACUCCUACGGGAGGCAGCAGUAGGGAAUCUUCCACAAUGGACGAAAGUCUGAUGGAGCAACGCCGCGUGAGUGAAGAAGGGUUUCGGCUCGUAAAACUCUGUUGUUGAAGAAGAACAUAUCUGAGAGUAACUGUUCAGGUAUUGACGGUAUUUAACCAGAAAGCCACGGCUAACUACGUGCCAGCAGCCGCGGUAAUACGUAGGUGGCAAGCGUUGUCCG